rnacentral:rRNA from 1 species
GACGAACGCUGGCGGCGUGCUUAACACAUGCAAGUCGAACGGAAAGGCCCUGCUUUUGUGGGGUGCUCGAGUGGCGAACGGGUGAGUAACACGUGAGUAACCUGCCCUUGACUUUGGGAUAACUUCAGGAAACUGGGGCUAAUACCGGAUAGGAGCUCCUGCUGCAUGGUGGGGGUUGGAAAGUUUCGGCGGUUGGGGAUGGACUCGCGGCUUAUCAGCUUGUUGGUGGGGUAGGGGCUUACCAAGGCUUUGACGGGUAGCCGGCCUGAGAGGGUGACCGGCCACAUUGGGACUGAGAUACGGCGCAGAAUCCUACGGGAGGCAGCAGUGGGGAAUAUUGCACAAUGGGCGGAAGCCUGAUGCAGCAACGCCGCGUGCGGGAUGACGGCCUUCGGGUUGUAAACCGCUUUCGCCUGUGACGAAGCGUGAGUGACGGUAAUGGGUAAAGAAGCACCGGCUAACUACGUG